UACAGAGGGGGCAAGCGUUGUUCGGAAUUACUGGGCGUAAAGGGCGCGUAGGCGGCCUGUUAAGUCGAACGUGAAAUCCCCGGGCUCAACCCGGGAACUGCGUCCGAUACUGGCAGGCUUGAAUCCGGGAGAGGGAUGUGGAAUUCCAGGUGUAGCGGUGAAAUGCGUAGAUAUCUGGAGGAACACCGGUGGCGAAGGCGGCAUCCUGGACCGGUAUUGACGCUGAGGAGCGAAAGCGUGGGGAGCGAACAGG
rnacentral:rRNA from 1 species